rnacentral:rRNA from 1 species
UACGAAGGGGGCUAGCGUUGUUCGGAAUUACUGGGCGUAAAGCGAACGUAGGCGGUGUUCCAUGUCAGAGGUGAAAGCCCGGGGCUCAACUCCGGAAUUGCCUUUAAGACUGCAUCGCUAGAAUUGUGGAGAGGUAAGUGGAAUUCCGAGUGUAGAGGUGAAAUUCGUAGAUAUUCGGAAGAACACCAGUGGCGAAGGCGACUUACUGGACGAUUGUUGACGCUGAGGUGCGAAAGCGUGGGGAGCAAACAGG